rnacentral:rRNA from 1 species
CCUACGGGAGGCAGCAGUGAGGCAUAUUGGUCAAUGGGAGAGAUCCUGAACCAGCCAAGCCGCGUGAGGGAAGACGGCCCUAUGGGUUGUCAACCUCUUUUGUCGGAGAACCAAACCCGGGACGUGUCCCGGACUGCGUGUAUCCGAAGAAAAAGCAUCGGCUCACUCGGUGCCAGCAGCCGAGGUAAUACGGAGGAUGCGAGCGUUAUCCGGAUUUAUUGGGUUUAAAGGGUAGGUAGGUGGUCCGUUAAGUCAGCGGUAAAAUUGCGGGGCUAAACCCCGUCGAGCAGUUGAAACUGGCAGACUUGAGUUGGCGAGAGGUACGCGGAAUGCGCGGUGUAGCGGUGAAAUGCAUAGAUAUCGCGAAGAACUCCGAUUGCGAAGGCAGCGUACCGGCGCCAGACUGACGCUGAGGCACGAAAGCGUGGGGAUCGAACAGGAUUAGAUACCCGGGUAGUC